rnacentral:lncRNA from 1 species
GUCCACCAGCCUUCUGAGUCAGCCCUGCCUCUCCUGGGGCGCGCGACUUUUCUGUUCAUACUGACCCUUAGGAAUCCAGGAAGCCUUCUCUGUUUAACAGCCUGACCAGCCUUUGAUGUCUAUACCGACUACUCACCCCCACCACAGCUCGCUCUCUCUCACACUGUCUACACUGACUUCUCAGUCCCACCACCUCUCGGUCUACACAUGCUGUCUACACAGACCCUAACUUCUAACCCUAAUAGAAGAGAUUUGGCCAGAGGCGUGUGGGACCCCCAAUGAGGGCUUUUCCAUUAUGCUAGAAUAUUUCACUCUGGGCACAGUCUUCUCCACCCCGACCGCUCUCCUAAUCUGGUUUUUAUUCCCCGACCUCUCCCUCCUCCCCUACAUCCCCUUUACCUGGUUUUGAGUUUCAGAGGAAAUAUCUGUACCUGCCCUCCUCCUCCACCCCUGUCUGAAUGUAAAGGCCUGAGGGCCCAAUCCUCAUCCUCCACCCUCCCUCCGCUCCCCCGGGUAAAGGCCUGAGGCCUGAGGCCUUGCUAGAAAUUGGAGUUGGGGUGCUGUAGGUAGUGUGGGGAGCUGGCUGUGGGGGCCCAGCUGGGAGGAGCUGGCCUGGGGAGGGCUUUGCCAGUCCUUGCCUCCAUCUACCAGGGCCAAGGAGGACUGAGCCGGUAAAUAUUUUCUUCUCAGCUCCCCCCCUGUGAUGUCUGAUCCAGGCCUCUGCUCUCCUUGGCUGUAAACUCAGCGCACGGAUUGUGUCUUCUUUAAUAUUUUGUAGGAAGCAGAGUACAGUGUCGUGGCUGAUAAAUAAUAAAUAAUAAUAAUCUACUGAGGGUAGCAGGAGCACUGUCAGAAAUGGAAUGAGGACGCCGGGGAAAUGGCCCACUAGUGUCAGAAUAACUGCAUUUCCUGGAAAAAACAUCCAACAGAGUUUGUGUGUGUGAAGCCCGGGACUCAAGGGAGGGGACAGAGCGGAGCACUUCAGGGAGGAAGCCACCCUUCAUGAGGACGACAGCCAGGAAAACUGGCGUGACCUUAAGAGAGGGUGACAGAGGUGCCGAAAAGGGGAGCAGGAGUGGGGGGGAGGGGGAGAAAAGCUCCCCAAGGGUCCUCAGACAACACCUGAAGGUGAUCGAUAGCUUUGGUUUGAGUACUAUGUCCUUCAAAUGGUAUAUGAAAAGUGAUAGAAGAGUACUAGAUAGCAAAAUGGAAAAAAGAGGGAUUUCUUGGGAUUUCAAAUUGAUACACAGGUCAACCCAAUGCAAAAAGAAGGAGAACAAAGCCACAGGCGUGUGUCUGUUCAUCCACGCUGUAGGAAGCUGUCCUCUGAGAUAAUCUCCAUGGAUGCACUGACUGUGAACAUGCAGAAGUCCACCCAGCCGUAUUCUGGAGUAGCGCCCUAUGUGACAGCUGUAGGCACUACAGAAAUGUGGCCAAGGUUUGCAGGGUCUGGGAUAGGUUAAGAUCUGGCAAUGUGAGGCACUCACAGUGUCUUACAGAUGAUUUUGAAUGAUCCUCAGUUGAAAGAAGAAAAUAGGAACUCCAAGAAUCCUUAUUCAGCUACCUCUCCAGAUGAAGGAGAAAGGAUGCUCCCAAUUUCCCUGCUGGCAGCAUCAGAAAAGAGAGCUGUGCUGAGGUCUUAUCCAGAGGAGGACCUACUCGGGCCAUGGUGGUGCGAAGGGCGCUGGUUCUGGGGCACCGCAAACUCUUCAGGGCUGAAGUUUGGUAACAGCUCACCAGGGGAGCCAGCUUGUCAGGGAGAAUGAGAAAAGCUGUGUGAAUUAGACUCCCAGUGGGCUUGUCUACCCUGUCCUCACCCAUCCUCGUUUUAUCCAAGGCUUCCUCGUCAUUGAUGCUCUGCCCUGCUGGGAGCUGUUUAGUGUGGACACAGCCAUUUAUGAAGGGUCUGCGCUGGUCUGCAUAUGAGUUCCAUUUCAGAGUGCUGUUGUUCACAUGAUCUGUCCCAGCGCAUCUAGUGUCUUGGCAACAUAAACUGGAUUUGCAUUGUGUCAGGGGUCUCCUCUCUCUCUCUCUCUACGUAGAUCUUGCUGGUGUCUGGGAUCUUUUUUGGGUCAUUCUUUGCUCUACUCUGUGGCCCAUGGGAUGGGCCCCAUGACUGGCAUGGAUCUCUCUGUGUGGUUCAUGGGACUCGUGUGUUGUGCCCAGAAACCUCUUACACCAUGGUCAAAGAUUUCUCCAUGAAACACAGGAUUGACUUGGUGGUGUGUUCUCCAAAAGCCAACCCUCCCUGUCCUGAGCCCCAAUCUGGGCACUGGGAUCAGGACUAAUGUGUACACUCCAAGCAGAUGGGUAGUGAAGGAGCGGACUCAUAGUGCAUAGGGAAGUGGACUGGAACACUCCAGGACAUCCAUUCCCCGCUCAGAUCAUAGACCAUUAUCUGUGCAGUCAAUCAGACAAGGACUUGUACUGGAAAGGCCACCAUCACCCAAGGAGGAACCAGAGGAAGUCACAUCAGGAACACCUGGGGUGCCACAUAAACCCACAGUGGCCAAGGUGGACUUCUGUCCUUGUCUGUGUUUAUGAUAAUAGCCACAACAAAAGGACCUUUACCCAGUGGCUACUAUAUGUCAGGCACUGUACCAAGAACUCUACCCAUGAUAUCUUGUUAAUCCUCACAGCAACCUGUGGAAUUGGUGUUAUCAGCCCCCAAAACUGAGUUCCAGAGAGGGUAGAUGAGAACCUGCAAUCACACAGUAAGUGACAGUGCUGGAAUUUCAGCCUGAUUGUCCCAAAGCCUCUGUUCUUUUUACCCCACCAAACACACAAAUGCAGUUUCUUUUGUCAUUAGCCCAGUGCUUUUCCCUUGGAGUAGAUACAGUAGAUGCUGAUUUUUGCCUUCAUCAGCAAAAGUCUUUACCCCAGACACAUAACUGGAGAUCAGUCAUAGAACAGAGAGCACUAAUGUAGAAGGGCACAGGUCCCUUUGAUUACUGAACACUCAGGUCACUCGGAAGAGUGGAAGCCUCAUCAGAAACCUUCGGGUUUGACAGGACAUCUGUUUCCAGGAGCACGGUGGGUGUAAACAGAGCAGCUGCCAGCCUCUGUCCUGGUUGGGGUUUUGUGUUUGCUGGUUUUUCUUUUUUUUUUUUUUUAAACACAUUAUACUCUAUUAAAACCACCCCUAUUUGGCAUCAAAAGCAUUAAUAAAUCCCACAUAAGGCACAGUCCCUCCAGUGGUUAAUCAAUCCAUAAAAAUCUAUUUAGCACCUACUGUGUGUCCAGCAUUUCAAUCCCAUGACGUUGAUUAAAGCAGGAAGUAAGGAGUCACAGCUGCCAAAUUUUCACCAUGGCCACCGUGCUCUGUGAUGUGUCACAAAGGCAUUUGCCAAUCAUGCAAUCAACCAUUUACUGAGAACCUGCUUUGUUGCUCAACUCUGUGCUGGCGACUCUCAGGAAGACAGGGAAGGGCUACCUGGUUUCUGCCUGAGCAGCAAGUGAUGAAGGAGAGUGAGCGUAUGAGAGAGUAAGAGAGUGAGCCCAAUCGUGGACUGACCACACAAUUGACCCUGGUUUACUGUGAGAAAGGACACAGACUGUGAACACCAGGAGGUAGGGAUCAUUGGAUGCCAUCUUGGAGGCUGGCUACCUCAACAAUCAUCUUAGAUUCCAUGAUUUCUAGACAAUGGAAGGAUGACAGGACGUAUUUCCCAGAUUUCAGUAAUUCAGGCUUCUGACAGUCCCCAAGAAAUCAGAGGACAUGAGACUCCAAAAAGAAGAGAGAUGGCUCAAGAAGGUGGGAGAACUCCUGGUAGAAUUCCAAAUGUGUAAAUUGCCAGUGCACUUGAAGAGAAAUAGUAAGGUGGGAACAGGUUGCUGAUGAGACCAGGGCAGCUCCUGGAGAAGCUCAACUUUGAGUAGAGCUGGCAAAAGGGAAAACAAGGAGCGAUAGGUGUAGCAGAGUCACACAAGCCUAGUUUGCUAAUUAGGUCUAAUAAAUUAAGGCAGUGAAAUUGUAAGGAUAACAACAACCAAAAAAAGCUUUUUUUUUUUUUGACAUGGGCAGAAAAUCAAGAAAGGAACUGCUCUGUGAUUGUGGUCAGUUUCUGUGGCGCCAGCUCUUCCUGACUGCCUGACAACCACGAUGUACCAGGCAAGGUGUGAAGUGCAGAGUACACAAAGGAAAGGUCACUGCCCUCAAAGGUCUCCCAAUCAAAUGGGAACGCAAAUGCAAAAUGCCAUUCAGCAUAAUCAAUACCAUAAUGAGAUUCUGGCCAGGAAGGUCAGGGACACGAGGAAAGGCUCUGCAGUGCUACCUGGGGCAGGUGGGUCAGGGAUGACCUGGUCGAAGAGAUUACACUUGAACUGAGUCUCAAAGGAUCAGCAGGAAUUCGCCAAGUGAACCAAGGGAGAAAGGGCAGAGAAAAAGGAGACACCCAGCACAGAGGCGUGAAGUAGCCUGGCAGGCUGGGGAGCUGCUAGUGUUUUAUAUGAUUAGAGCAAGGUGGAGGUGCAGACAGGGCUGGGGAGAACUGUGGAACCCACUUCGCAAGGCCUUGGGUGCCUGUACUGGGAGUGGACACGGCAGUGUUGGUCAAAAUGGGGUCUUACAUCAGAAUCUCCUGGGAGGUUCAUGAAAAUGCAGUUUCUUAAGCCUUAUCUUAUGUCCAUAUGGGCAGACUGCUCAGCAUAACUCUCUUUUCUUCCUGAGCUUGACUACAUUUCCCAGCGUCCUUUGGAGUGAGACUACAUCUCCCAGCAUCCUGGCAGUUAGACAAUUUUCUAGUCUCCUUUGCAGGGAUCUUGGAAGCCCCAUGUUGAAGGUGGCAGAGCAACAAAAAUUGAGGAAACCCUGAAUCCCUGAAUUACUAUUUGGAGAUGACCACCCACUAAUUCGGAACACUCAUUAUUGGGCUUUAGGAGAAUGAGAAGUUCUAUCAUGUUUGAGACUCCGUACAUCUUUGGAUUUGUUUUAACAGCUAGUUUUACCCUGGCUAACAUGGCAAUUGACAGCCUCUGAGAGGAGAUUUGGAGAAUCUGCUUUUUUAACAAGUACUCCAGGGGAGUUUGAGAAUCACUGCUGAAAGCCAAGGGGAGCCAGCCACCCAAGGAUUUAACGCUGACCAAGGAACACCACGCUAUUUGCAUUUUAGAAUGACAGCAAGGGAGCAGAACUCUGCCCCCUUCUUGUCUGCCAAGGAGAACAAUCUACUGACUCAAAAGAAAAAGAAAACUUUGGUAAGAGAAAAUUGAAGCUCUAGAUGAGUGAAAAGAUUCUAACAGCACCAAGCUGCCGUAAAUGAGCUCAAGUCUCCUGGCCAGGACAAAUUACACUCCAGGGAGUAGAGAGAACUCGCCUCUGAAGCUGUAAAGCCUCUGCUGAUAAUCUUUACAGAACAUGGAGACUGUGAAAGAAAUUGGAACGCUAGAAAUGGCAAAAUAUAGCUCUGAUUAGUAAAGAGGGGGAAAGCUUCUGCAAACUACAAAAGUGGGGCUAUCCUAUCCAUCCUCAUUAAAUUCCCUGAUCAGACUACUUAAGGCUGAGCUGUGAGUACGUGAAAAAUGGAGCAGAAUCCUCUAGAAGCCUGUGUGGGUUCUUUAAGAGCAAGCCACGACAAGAUGAAAAAACAAGAGCCUAAAGAAGGGAGGCAACUUUUCCAAAGCCACACAUUAAACCUGUGGCAGUUAAGAGCCAGAACUGUGGUAUCCUGGCCCUCAGCCCCACACCUCUACUGCAAUACCUGGGAUGUGGGCCCAUGGAUUGAUUUAUGGAUUUUGACUAACAUAUCUUCAAUUGAGCAAUCACUCGGAUGAUCGAUUGAACACUCCUUCACCAAACAAGGCUGGAGGCCUGGGAUGGACGCCGGUGGUUUGAGAUAUGCAGAAGAAAUGGGUCCUGCCCUCCGGAACACUCCAGAGAAUAUCAUGGCACUUUAUAACAUCAGUGUCAAUCAGCAUUGAUUGACAAGCCCCCUGGACUUUGGAUGACUUCUCUGAAGCCCCAGCUGUGCCUGGCUGGGCCAUCUCCCUUCUCCACUUGGCCACAGCAUAAACUGCAGUCAAGCCACAGGAGUGACCUCAAGGCCUCAGGCCACUUUUCCAGCCUCAGCUUUUCUUAGGGGCCCAGCCCACUUACAAUAGAAAUUUGCCAAAGACUGGGUUGGUAAGUAAUGGAUAAGUUUUCAUAUUUACUAUUUUCAUUUCUGAAUCUCUCUUUACAUGCAGUUAAGCCAGGAAAUCCUGAAAGAACACUCUUCAGAAUGUUUUUAAGUAAAACAACAAGUUUCUGUUAAUUUAGGGCCAACCCAUGAGUAAACAGAUAGAGCCUGAGGUAUUCUGCACCCUGUAAUUUGUGGACUUCUUAGGAUCUUUUAAAAUAAAGAUGAAUAGUGGG